GGGUCAGUAGGUUGGUCGUGCCACCGGUACGUACUGGUCUCACUGAUCCCUCCUUCCUGAAGAACCGUAAUGCCAUUAAUUUGGUGUUGCGGGGAAACAGGACUGUUACUUUGAAAAAAUUAGAGUGUUUAAAGCAAGCUAGCGCUUGAAUACAUUAGCAUGGAAUAAUGAAAUAGGACGAUCGAUCCUAUUUUGUUGGUUUCUAGGAUUGACGUA
rnacentral:rRNA from 1 species